GUGCUCAAACGUCCACGACGUAGAGGGCUUUAAAACCAUCCGAUCAGUUUUGGGUUCUAAGCUGGACAUUGUUCGGGUUCUUGCUGUGAGAGGUACCGUUAGGGCAUUUCAGUGAGCUGUGCGGUUUUACUCCAAGAGGUAGAUGAGGUGCUUCUGGAGCAGGCCUUAGAGGGAGAUGAUGUUGCAGCUUAGUCUAGUUAGGACUCUUAGUUGUUCCCUAUCAUUUUGAAAUACUCUAAUGUGUUUAAGUUUUAAACUAUGAUUUCUGUUUUUGGAUGACUGUAACCUUAAUACUUUAUUUACAGUCUUAUUCUAACUCUUCGAGGGAGAUGAUGCUGCAACUUAGUCUAGUUAGGACUCUUAGUUGUUCCCUAUCAUUUUGAAAUACUCUAAUGUGUUUAAGUUUUAAACUAUGACUUCUG